rnacentral:rRNA from 1 species
CACGUAGGGGCGAGCGUUAUCCGGAAUUACUGGGCGUAAAGGGUGCGUAGGUGGUUUCUUAAGUCAGAGGUGAAAGGCUACGGCUCAACCGUAGUAAGCCUUUGAAACUGGGAAACUUGAGUGCAGGAGAGGAGAGUGGAAUUCCUAGUGUAGCGGUGAAAUGCGUAGAUAUUAGGAGGAACACCAGUUGCGAAGGCGGCUCUCUGGACUGUAACUGACACUGAGGCACGAAAAGCGUGGGGAGCAAACAGGAUUAGAUACCCCCGUAGUCCCUGAGCGGGCU